AGUACUGUACAUACAAAUUAUUUAUUCAAAGAAAGUAGCCAGUGUUGAAGAUUUUUUAAGAUCGGGAUGAAUGCCCUUAUAAUUCUAGGAUGUCCAGUUGAGAGUGGAAACAGAUGUAUGGUAAAGGUUGAGGGGAAAAUCUUGUUAAAAAAACAGACUUGCUAAGAAAAUAAAUAGUAUGAUUAUUGCUUGUAGUCUACUACUUACAUGCUAUAAUCUCAAAAUUACAUUCUUUAAAUUAGAAUAUAACCUGUACUACAGUUCUGCAGUGGAAGUAUAAGAGGAGGUUGGAAGUAUAUAAAAACAACUCUAACACACAAAAGCUUGACCUGCCCAGCAUUUAAAGGUGAAACAAUCAUUGGUCCUCUCUUCUUUCACGUCUAGACCAGUAACACAUGUUGUAACUCUGUUCUGAAUCUCCCUAAGUGUUCUCAGAAAGAUAUGAGAGCACGGAAACCUUUUUCUUUCUUCAAGAAUAACACAAGUUGUGUCCUGGAUAGCUAAAAACAGAUGGCAAGACGCAAUGACUCAUGACUUGACCCUCAUCAGUGUAACUUCUAUGACUCAAGACAAUUGUAAUCACUUUCCUCCCUUCACUCAGAUUGGUACAAAUUAUCUACCUUCCCUAACCAAAAAAGAACCAUUCAUUUCUGCUCAUUUUCCAUUCAUUUUUCAUUUUAUUUCUAUUCAUCUUUACCCUAGUUGUCUUUGUAGCUCCACUAACCACCACUCCUGCACCCUCCACUAGUUCAGUAAUUUCUUCACUCAGCAAUGGGCGAAUCUUCUCAAGACCACAUCUCCAACUGACAUUGGGACUUUGGUGUGGAACUGAACAAGGAAGAGGAAACAGGAGACUGAGGAAGUGAGCAAUGAGUGGUCUUUAGACAGUGACAGAUAUGCACAGGACGUUAGGCUUACAGCAAAGGUAUUAUAGCACCACCUUACAAUUGUGUCCUGGAAAUUCAUUCUCACACCAGCUUGUGUUGGCCUCCCUCUGAAACUUUACCACUUAUUCAUUCAAUAACUAUUUUGGAGCGCCAACUAUGAGCUAAGUUCUAGCGACAGUAGGGUAACAAAGAAAACAAUUUUAAUGAAUAUCAUUGACUACGAAAACUCCUAGUCUAGUUAAAGAGAAUCAAACAUUACCACAGUGCACUUUUCACAACAUUUUCCCCAUUUGAUAACUUGGAAAGUAACAUAAACAUUGCAAACUCCCAUAAAAAUGAUAAAAUACAAAAAUAUGUAAAAAUAUUAAAAAUGACAAAUGAUAUAUAAAUGUUUCAGCAGAAAAUGUUUCCUUCUAGAUUGGUAUAUUUUUAUUAUAAGGUUAUCCUCUCCUAUAAUUCUUUUUCCAAAAUAUUUACUGAGCACCUGCUAAGGGCCAGGCACUGUUCUAGGCACCAUGGAUACAUCAGUGCAUAUGACAGACAGGAUUCCUGCCCUCCUGAAGCUUACAUUCUGGUGAGGGAGACAGAUAAUAAUUAUGAUUUUUUUGAAAAGUAAAAUUUAUAUUCUGUAAGACAGUGAAAAGUGCUAAGGAGAAACUAAGCCACAGAAGGAUGAUUGCAGGAGGGAUGAUAGGGGAUGUCUUGCAACUUAAAAUUGAGUGGCCAGAAAUGGCCUCACUGCCAAUGUGACUUUUGAAUAAAGACCUGAAGUGAGUGACUCCAUGAAUCACAUUGAUAUCUGGAGGGAGGGCAUUAAUAACAUUCAAACUAAGUACAGAUAAAUUUUGACUUGUUUUCCAUUUAACACGUACCACAAGUGUUUCAUUUUGUUUUAAAUUUCAUAAGAAAAAGCAUAACCUGUCAACACAUAAAUUUAAUUAUGACGUAUUUGGUUUGAGAAUUAAAUAUAUAUUAAAAUGUAAUAUAAAAUUUAACUACAUGUUACACACUAUUUAAAAAGGCAUAAACUGUUUUCAGCAUCUGAUAUUUGGUAGUUUUGCAUUUUGUGCUUAAAAAAACAAAUCAACAGGUUUUACAGCCGUAUUUGCAAGAACAUUUUUGUAAAUAACAUAUUGUGAGUGGGGAUAGUCUUAAUUCCUGAUAAGUAAAAAAUCAAAUUGGAAAUAAUCAUCAGUAUGGCUUCUCCUUUUUAACAUUAGAUUUUGAAGUAUCGGUCUUGAAGUUCACUGUGAGACACUCGACCACAUGAGUGUGAUUAAUGGCUUUUAUGAAGUCCAUGGAGAGAUAAUUAUUUUACUGCUUGAUAGCUUAGAUUAUUUUAUUGCUGAAUGGACGCCAUUACUCUCUUGAACACUGUGAGCCAUCUGUAGUGCUUUGGGAAAACUCAAGUUGGGAAAUACUGCAAUUCAGCAACUUGAUUGCAAAGCAAGAGCUAUAGUAGAAGAGAGUAUUAAGUUCAAUGGGGGCAGAGAAGAAGGACCCAUACUCAGUCGAGCCUUCCAUGAAGAGUUCAUCUGAAAGGUAAGUAAGAAAUAGGCAGGUGGAAGGAGGAAGAGCUUCCACACAAAAGCACAGAGACAUAAAGAGGCUCAGGGGACUUAGGGAACAGGCUGUGAUCAGUAUGACGGGUCCAGAUGUGAAUCAGACGAAGCAGCAGACGUUGAAGAAAGAAGACAGCAGAUCAUGAAGGGCCUUGUAUGUCAUGCAACUAAGUUUGGACUUUAUCCUGAGAUGGUAAGGAGCCACCAAUCUAUUUAUAAUGGAGAUAAAGUAUUCUAAUUGGUGUGUUAGGAGGACUGUUGAGGUUGAAGGAGGAUAAGGACUAGACACACAUAAUAUCUUGUUUUUAUUCCGACACCUAUGCAAUGCGAAUUUCAAAAUUUAAGGAGGUCUAAAGAAGUUUGCUAAAGUAAUGUCUUCCUCCUCUUCUUCUACCUUCUUGUAUAUUCCAGUUAGAUGAAAGCGUUGUCUUCAUGCAUUCUUGGUUAAAAAUCACUAAACUCAUCAAAAUGGAGCAAUAAGAAUUAUCGGUCUUUGGUAUUUUUAUAUAUUAUUUUUCUCCUACAGUAAAGAGAAGCCAGCGAGGUAGAUGGGAAGGACAGUUUCAGAGGCUUGGUGGUUAGUAGCCUAUCCUAGGGGAACAAUCAGUCUUUUGUAAUCAGGAGGAAACAGGUGGUCCAGAAUUUCUGGAGAUGUUAGAUGGGGAAAGAAGAUAAAAAGGUGGGAAAUUGAGGAAGGCAGGAAAUUGAGACUGGUCAUGGUAAAAUGGAAAGAAUGUAGGCAUGGGAAUUUAGAACCCUGAAUUCUAGUUCUGACUACCAGUGGAUGUCAGGAACUAUGAAGGCUCUGAGAUUUUACCCUACAUGCAAGCUAACAAGUUUCGAGUAUGCUGCAGAAGACACGGGACUCUUGGGUCAGAGACAAAGAACAAUGUUUUACUAACAGCAAUAGCAAUAGCUACAGUAUCAUCAUUGCCUUGCCCAAGUUCCCUGACUUCCACUUCCUGUAGGCAAUGCAACAAGGACCAGGUGAUACCUGCAUAAGUGGUUGGUUGAGUUCCAGGAGAGCAACCCCGAGGUUAGGAAACCCCAGUCUUCUAUAACGAGCAGCAAACACAUUGUCCAACCUUUUCUCUGGAAGGAGACGUUAUCUCUGUCUCCCAAGAUGAUUCACUAUACAGAUAUCUUUGAAAAGUUGGUCCAGAACAAAAGACUCAGCCUACAAGACAUGCAGAAAUGCUAGAGAUCCAUGAAGAAUGGUCUCUCAAUAGUGGCUAGCCAUAUGUUCCUGGUCAGACUAUCUGUCUUUAUUGCACUUGUUUCCUCAUCAAUAAAUUGGGGAGAUUAUUACUCAACUCAUAGGAUAAUCUAAAGUAAAAUAUUAUUCCAAACUAAAAAAAAAUAAAUUGAUAAGUACUUCACUUUUUAUAUUAUGCCAGAGCAUUUUCUGAUAACCUUGCUGAAAACGUAAUUUUGUUGUCACCAUAUAUUAAUAAGCCACUAAUAAGCCACAACUAAUUAAAACACAGGUGAUUCCAAUCCAGUAAGAUUAACUUCUGAAAUUGAUGGUGUAGAAAGUUGAUUAAUUGUAAAUCUAAUUUAGCAACUGUACUCAUACAUUUCUGUCUUUACAAAUCCCUGCUCCUAAACCAUUCUUUGAGCUUGUGCUUUGGUCUUCUUGCUGGUUGCCUCUUAAGGAAUUAUUUUAAAAUUUUACCAAUGUUAACAAAUAAAUUUGUUUAAAAAGUUUGAUUUUAAGUUUCUUGUGGGGAUUAAAUGAGAUAAUAUAAACUGUCUGAAGGUACCCAGAACAUACUAGGUGUUUAAUAAAUAUUAGUCCUUUCCUAUUAUAGUUCUAUCCUUCUUUGAUUUGAGGGUACUGAGAAUAUAUCAUGCCAACUUCACCAUUUGUAAUUAAAAUCAUAAAGCCACGUUGUUUCCUAAUAGUUUUAAAACAAUGACCAUUUUCACAGUUUGCCAUAUAUUUUCAGAAUCAAUGUAAUUCUCACUGCAACUACUCACAAAAAAUGAUAUAUAAGUGUCCCCAUUGCUAUUAUUUGCAUCUGCAGCAUUCUUUUAAUUAACUCCUUCUUCAUGUUUCCUUUUCAGUAAGCUGGUUUCUCUCUCCCACAAGUCAGUCCAUCACUUUAGUUUCAGGGGUGGAGGGAAGGAACAUGUAACCUUGGAAGAGGGAAGAUACACCUUACGAGAUUAUCCCACCCAGGCCAAAAGAAGAAGGUAAAAAUGUCUGU
rnacentral:lncRNA from 1 species